rnacentral:rRNA from 1 species
UACGAGGGGGGCGAGCGUUGUUCGGAAUUACUGGGCGUAAAGAGUGUGUAGGCGGUGCUCUAAGUUCGGUGUGAAAUCUCCCGGCUUAACUGGGAGGGUGCGCCGGAACUGGAGUGCUCGAGCGUGGAGAGGAAGCGGAAGUCUGGUGUAGCGGUGAAAUGCGUAGAUAUCAGGAGGAACACCUGCGGUGUAGACGGCUUUCUGGACCAUUGCUGACGCUGAGACACGAAAGCGUGGGUAGCAAACAGG